rnacentral:rRNA from 1 species
GUGACGAAGCGACGCCGCGUGCGGGAGGAAGGCCUUCGGGUUGUAAACCGCUGUCGGGAGCUAAGAAAUGCAAGAAUGUUAAUAGCGUUCUUGCUUGACUAAGGCUCCGGAGGAAGCCACGGCUAACUCUGUGCCAGCAGCCGCGGUAAUACAGAGGCGGCAAGCGUUGUUCGGAAUUAUUGGGCGUAAAGAGCACGUAGGCGGCUGUGUAAGUCGGUUGUGAAAGCCUUCCGCUCAACGGAAGAACGGCAUCCGAUACUGCAUAGCUUGAGUGUGGGAGGGGAGAGUGGAACUUCUGGUGGAGCGGUGAAAUGCGUAGAUAUCAGAAGGAACACCGGCGGCGAAGGCGACUCUCUGGUCCAUAACUGACGCUGAGUGUGCGAAAGCUAGGGGAGCAAACGGGAUUAGAUACCCCGGUAGUCCUAGCCGUAAACGAU